rnacentral:rRNA from 1 species
GUUUGGUUAAGUUAGAAAGGGCGCACGGUGGAUGCCUUGACACUAGGAGUCGAUGAAGGACGGGACUAACGCCGAUAUGCUUCGGGGAGCUGUAAGUAAGCUUUGAUCCGAAGAUUUCCGAAUGGGGAAACCCACCAUACGUAAUGGUAUGGUAUCCUUAUCUGAAUACAUAGGGUAAGGAAGACAGACCCAGGGAACUGAAACAUCUAAGUACCUGGAGGAAGAGAAAGCAAAUGCGAUUUCCUGAGUAGCGGCGAGCGAAACGGAACAUAGCCCAAACCAAGAGGCUUGCCUCUUGGGGUUGUAGGACAUUCUAUACGGAGUUACAAAGGAACGAGGUAGACGAAGCGACCUGGAAAGGUCCGUCGUAGAGGGUAACAACCCCGUAGUCGAAACUUCGUUCUCUCUUGAAUGUAUCCUGAGUACGGCGGAACACGUGAAAUUCCGUCGGAAUCUGGGAGGACCAUCUCCCAAGGCUAAAUACUCCCUAGUGAUCGAUAGUGAACCAGUACCGUGAGGGAAAGGUGAAAAGCACCCCGGAAGGGGAGUGAAAGAGAUCCUGAAACCGUGUGCCUACAAAUAGUCAGAGCCCGUUAACGGGUGAUGGCGUGCCUUUUGUAGAAUGAACCGGCGAGUUACGAUCCCGUGCGAGGUUAAGCUGAAGAGGCGGAGCCGCAGCGAAAGCGAGUCUGAAUAGGGCGUUUAGUACGUGGUCGUAGACCCGAAACCAGGUGAUCUACCCAUGUCCAGGGUGAAGUUCAGGUAACACUGAAUGGAGGCCCGAACCCACGCACGUUGAAAAGUGCGGGGAUGAGGUGUGGGUAGCGGAGAAAUUCCAAUCGAACCUGGAGAUAGCUGGUUCUCCCCGAAAUAGCUUUAGGGCUAGCCUUAAGUGUAAGAGUCUUGGAGGUAGAGCACUGAUUGGACUAGGGGUCCUCAUCGGAUUACCGAAUUCAGUCAAACUCCGAAUGCCAAUGACUUAUCCUUAGGAGUCAGACUGCGAGUGAUAAGAUCCGUAGUCAAAAGGGAAACAGCCCAGACCGCCAGCUAAGGUCCCAAAGUGUGUAUUAAGUGGAAAAGGAUGUGGAGUUGCUUAGACAACUAGGAUGUUGGCUUAGAAGCAGCCACCAUUUAAAGAGUGCGUAAUAGCUCACUAGUCGAGUGACUCUGCGCCGAAAAUGUACCGGGGCUAAAUACACCACCGAAGCUGCGGAUUGAUACCAAUGGUAUCAGUGGUAGGGGAGCGUUCUAAGGACAGUGAAGUCAGACCGGAAGGACUGGUGGAGUGCUUAGAAGUGAGAAUGCCGGUAUGAGUAGCGAAAGACGGGUGAGAAUCCCGUCCACCGAAUGCCUAAGGUUUCCUGAGGAAGGCUCGUCCGCUCAGGGUUAGUCAGGACCUAAGCCGAGGCCGACAGGCGUAGGCGAUGGACAACAGGUUGAUAUUCCUGUACCACCUCUUUAUC